rnacentral:rRNA from 1 species
CUCCUACGGGAGGCAGCAGUGAGGAAUAUUGGUCAAUGGGCGGGAGCCUGAACCAGCCAAGUCGCGUGAAGGAAGAAGGAUCUAUGGUUCGUAAACUUCUUUUGCAGGGGAAUAAAGUGCGGGACGUGUCCUGUUUUGUAUGUACCCUGAGAAUAAGGAUCGGCUAACUCCGUGCCAGCAGCCGCGGUAAUACGGAGGAUCCGAGCGUUAUCCGGAUUUAUUGGGUUUAAAGGGUGCGUAGGUGGUUUGAUAAGUCAGCGGUGAAAGUUUGCAGCUUAACUGUAAAAAUGCCGUUGAAACUGUCGGACUUGAGUGUAAAUGAGGUAGGCGGAAUGCGUGGUGUAGCGGUGAAAUGCAUAGAUAUCACGCAGAACUCCGAUUGCGAAGGCAGCUUACUAAGCUACAACUGACACUGAAGCACGAAAGCGUGGGGAUCAAACAGGAU